GACGAACGCUGGCGGCGUGCUUAACACAUGCAAGUCGAACGGAAAGGCUCCAGCUUGCUGGAGUACUCGAGUGGCGAACGGGUGAGUAACACGUGGGUAAUCUGCCCUGCACUCUGGGAUAAGCCUGGGAAACUGGGUCUAAUACUGGAUAUGACCUUUCUCCUUAUAGGGUUUGGUGGAAAGUUUUUCGGUGUAGGAUGAGCCCGCGGCCUAUCAGCUUGUUGGUGGGGUGAUGGCCUACCAAGGCGACGACGGGUAGCCGGCCUGAGAGGGUGAUCGGCCACAUUGGGACUGAGAUACGGCCCAGACUCCCACGGGAGGCAGCAGUGGGGAAUAUUGCACAAUGGGCGGAAGCCUGAUGCAGCGACGCCGCGUGAGGGAUGACGGCCUUCGGGUUGUAAACCUCUUUCAGCAGGGACGAAGCGUAAGUGACGGUACCUGCAGAAGAAGCACCGGCUAACUAUGUG
rnacentral:rRNA from 1 species